UUUACCAUUAAUUAGGUCGAUUCCUGGCGCUUUGUUGUUCUUUGUUUUAUCAAUUAUGUUUCUAAUUUCUUGUGCCGAUGUUUUAGGUAUGGUGUAUUCCUUGUCGGCUGUGGUAGCAGUGGUUUGUGGAUCCUCCUCCGUAUGACUUUUGAGGUUGCUGUUGUUGAUAAUGCGUGGUGUGAAUGUGUUGCAGAGGUGGUUGGAGAAUUCUUCAGCUUGUUCUUCGUUGCUUCUUGCCCAUGUGUUAUCUGCUUUUCUGAUUGCUGGGACGGGUAUUAUUGGCUACUUUAUUUUUUUCGUGGCUUUCCAUAGUGAGUAG
rnacentral:misc_RNA from 1 species